CGGCAGGUAGCCUAGUGGUUAGAGGGGAGGGGCGGCAGGUAGCCUAGUGGUUAGAGGGGAGGGGCGGCAGGUAGCCUAGUGGUUAGAGGGGAGGGGCGGCAGGUAGCCUAGUGGUUAGAGCGUUGGACCAGUAACCGAAAGGUUGCAAGAUCAAAUCCCCGAGCUGACAAGGUAAAAAUCUGCCGUUCUGCCCCUGAACAAGGCAGUGUUCCUAGGCCGUCAUUGAAAAUAAGAAUUUGUUCUUAACUGACUUGCCUAGUUAAAUAAAGAUUAAAUAAAUAAAAAAUAUGUUGAUAUACAGUACCAGUCAAAAGUUUGGACACAGCUGGAUUCCUGGAUUUUUCACUAUUUUCUAUAUUGUAGAAUAAUAGUGAAGACAUCAAAACUAUGAAAUAACAUAUAUGGAACCAUGUAGUAACCAAAAAAAUGUUAAUCAAAAUAUAUUUUAGAUUCUUCAAAGUAACCACCCUUUGCCUUGAUGACAGCUUUGCACACUCUUGGCAUUAUCUCAACCAGCUUCACCUGGAAUGCUUUUCCAUCAGUCUUGAAGGAGUUCCCACAUAUGCUGAGCACUUGUUGGCUGCUGUUCUUUCACUCCGCGGUCUAACUCAUUCCAAACCAUCUCAAUUGGGUUGAGGUCGGGUGAUUGUGGAGGCCAGGUCAUCUGAUGCAGCACUCCAGCACUCACCUACUUGGUCAAAAAUCCCUUACACAGCCUGGAGGUGUGUUGGGUCAUUGUGCUGUUGAAAAAGAAAUGAUAGUCCCACUAAGCCCAAACCAUAUGGGAUGGCGUAUCGCUGCAGAAUGCUGUGGAGGCCAUGCUGGUUAGUCUGCCUUGAAUUCUAAAUAAAUCACUGACAGUGUCACCAGCAAAGCACCCCCACACCAUCACACCUCCUCCUCCAUGCUUCACGGUGGGAAAUACACAUGCGGAGAUCUGUUAACCUACUCUGCGUCUCACAAAGACACGGCGGUUUGGAACCAAAAAUCUCAUAUUUGGACUCAUCAGACCAAAAGACAGAUUUCCACCGGUCUAAUGCCCAUUGCUCGUGUUUCUUGGCCGAAGCCAGUCUCAUCUUCUUAUUGGUGUCGUUUAGUAGUGGUUUCUUGCCAGCAUUUCAACCAUGAAGGCCUGAUUUUUUAAAAAGUAUUUUAUUUGACCUUUUUAACAAGGCAAGUCAGUUAAGAACAACUUCUUAUUUACAAUGACGGCCUACCCUGGCCAAACCCUAAGUCGUACGACACUGGGCCAAUUGUGAGCCGCACUAUGGGACUCCCAAUUAUAGCCGGUUGUGAUACAGCCUGGAAUAGAACCAGGGUCUGUAGUGACACCUCUAGCACUGAGACUGCUGCGCCACUCGGGGGUCUCCUCUGAACAGUUUACGUUGAGAUGUGUCUGUCACUUGAACUCUGAAACAUUUAUUUUGGCAGCAAUUUCUGAGGCUGUUAACUCUAAUGAACUUAUCCUCUGCAACAGAGGUAACUCUGGGUCUCCUUUCCUGUGGUGGUCCUCAUGAGAGCCAGUUAACUCUCUAAUGAACUUAUCCUCUGCAGCAGAGGUAACUCUGGGUCUUCCUUUCCUGUGGCGGUCCUCAUGAGAGCCAGUUAACUCUCUAAUGAACUGAUCCUCUGCAGCAGAGGUAACUCUGGGUCUCCUUUCCUGUGGUGGUCCUCAUGAGAGCCAGUUAACUCUCUAAUGAACUUAUCCUCUGCAGCAGAGGUAACUCUGGGUCUUCCUUUCCUGUGGCGGUCCUCAUGAGAGCCAGUUAACUCUCUAAUGAACUGAUCCUCUGCAGCAGAGGUAACUCUGGGUCUUCCUUUCCUGUGGCGGUCCUCAUGAGAGCCAGUUUCAUCAUAGCGCUUGAUGGUUUUUGCGACUGCAUUUGAAGAAACUUUCAAAGUUGUCAUUAUCCGUAUUGACUGACCUUCAUGUCUUAAAGUAAUGAUGGACUGUCAUUUCUCUUUGCUUAUUUGAGCUGCUCUUGCCAUAAUAUGGACUUGGUCUUUUACCAAAUAGGGAAUCCCAUAGGUAGUGCACUACUUUAGACCAGGGCCCAUAGGGAAUCCCAUAGGUAGUGCACUACUUUAGACCAGGGCCCAUAGGGAAUCCCAUAGGUAGUGCACUACUUUAGACCAGGGUCAAUAGGGAAUCCCAUAGGUAGUACACUACUUUUGACCAG